GAUGAACGCUGGCGGCGUGCCUAAUACAUGCAAGUCGAGCGAACAGACGAGGAGCUUGCUCCUCUGACGUUAGCGGCGGACGGGUGAGUAACACGUGGAUAACCUACCUAUAAGACUGGGAUAACUUCGGGAAACCGGAGCUAAUACCGGAUAAUAUAUUGAACCGCAUGGUUCAAUAGUGAAAGACGGUUUUGCUGUCACUUAUAGAUGGAUCCGCGCCGCAUUAGCUAGUUGGUAAGGUAACGGCUUACAAAGGCGACGAUGCGUAGCCGACCUGAAAGGGUGAUCGGCCACACUGGGACUGAGACACGGUCCAGACUCCUACGGGAGGCAGCAGUAGGGAAUCUUCCGCAAUGGGCGAAAGCCUGACGGAGCAACGCCGCGUGAGUGAUGAAGGUCUUCGGAUCGUAAAACUCUGUUAUUAGGGAAGAACAAAUGUGUAAGUAACUAUGCACGUCUUGACGGUACCUAAUCAGAAAGCCACGGCUAACUACGUG
rnacentral:rRNA from 1 species